rnacentral:rRNA from 1 species
AGAGUUUGAUCAUGGCUCAGGAUGAACGCUAGCUACAGGCUUAACACAUGCAAGUCGAGGGGCAGCAUGACCUAGCAAUAGGUUGAUGGCGACCGGCGCACGGGUGAGUAACACGUAUCCAACCUACCGGUUAUUCCGGGAUAGCCUUUCGAAAGAAAGAUUAAUACCGGAUAGUAUAACGAGAAGGCAUCUUCUUGUUAUUAAAGAAUUUCGAUAACCGAUGGGGAUGCGUUCCAUUAGUUUGUUGGCGGGGUAACGGGCCACCAAGACAUCGAUGGAUAGGGGUUCUGAGAGGAAGGUCCCCCACAUUGGAACUGAGACACGGUCCAAACUACCUACGGGAGGCA